rnacentral:rRNA from 1 species
GGACCCGCACAAGCGGUGGAGCAUGUGGUUUAAUUCGAAGCAACGCGAAGAACCUUACCAAGUCUUGACAUCCUUUUGACGAUACCUUAACCGGUAUUUCCCUUCGGGGCAGAAGUGACAGGUGGUGCAUGGUUGUCGUCAGCUCGUGUCGUGAGAUGUUGGGUUAAGUCCCGCAACGAGCGCAACCCUUGUCUUUAGUAGCCAGCAAGUUAAGUUGGGCACUCUAGAGAGACUGCCAGGGAUAACCUGGAGGAAGGUGGGGAUGACGUCAAAUCAUCAUGCCCCUUAUGAUUUGGGCUACACACGUGCUACAAUGGCGUAAACAAAGAGAGGCAAGCCCGCGAGGGGGAGCAAAUCUCAAAAAUAACGUCUCAGUUCGGAUUGUAGUCUGCAACUCGACUACAUGAAGCUGGAAUCGCUAGUAAUCGCGAAUCAGAAUGUCGCGGUGAAUACGUUCCCGGGUCUU